GCAUAUCAAUAAGCGGAGGAAAAGAAACCAACAGGGAUUGCCUCAGUAACGGCGAGUGAAGCGGCAAAAGCUCAAAUUUGAAAUCCCCCCGGGGAGUUGUAAUUUGAAGAUUGCGUCUUGGAGGCGACCGUGUCUAUGUUCCUUGGAACAGGACGUCACAGAGGGUGAGAAUCCCGUGCGGCACGGCCCCCGGCUCCUUAUAAGGCGCUCUCGACGAGUCGAGUUGUUUGGGAAUGCAGCUCAAAGUGGGUGGUAAAUUCCAUCUAAAGCUAAAUACAGGCGAGAGACCGAUAGCGAACAAGUACAGUGAUGGAAAGAUGAAAAGCACUUUGAAAAGAGAGUGAAACAGCACGUGAAAUUGUUGAAAGGGAAGGGCAUGCCGUCAGAUUGUCAGUGUGGGUAAGAAGCGGGGUACAAAGACUGUGGAACGUGGCCCUCGGGUGUUAUAGCCGCAGUUCAUGCCCCGUCUCUUUCCGAGGCCUGCUUUGAGGACACCGACGUAAUGACGGUACGCCGCCCGUCUUGA
rnacentral:rRNA from 1 species